rnacentral:lncRNA from 1 species
ACUAAAAUAAUCCUAAAUAAGCUUAAUCAAAUUCAAAAAAACCUCAAAGAAAUUUUAAACAAACAAUAAGAAUUCUUACAAAAAUAUUAGAAGGAUCACAAAUAUCACUCAAAUACAUUUCAAUUCAAUCUUAAUUUAAUUCUAGUUAAAAUCCUAUUGAACUUUAUUCAAAAUUUAGGCCAAAACUAAUUGAAUCUUAAAUCCUAAUAAAAUCCUAGAUCCUAAAUCAAACCCUAAACAAACCUUAAAUCAAAUUCCAACCAAAUUCUAAACCAAAUCCUAAUCAAAUCCUAAAUCAAACCCUAAACCUUAAAUCAAAUCUUAACCAAAUUCUAAUCCAAAUCCUAAAUCCUGAAUCAAAUUCUAAUCCAAAAUCUAAAUAAAACCCUAACUAAAUCAUAAAUCAAACCCUAAAUCAAACCCUAAAUAAACCUUAAACCAAACCCCAAUCAAAUCUUAAACCAAACCCUAACCAAAUCUUAAUCAAAUCCUAAUACAAACCCUAAAUCCUAAAUCAAAUCCUAAUCAAAUUCUAAAUCCUAAAUCAAAUUCUAAUCAAACUCUAAAUCCUAAUCCAAAUUCUAAACCCUAAAUCAAACUCUAACCAAACCCUAAACCAAACCCUAGUAAUUCCUACAAUAGAUUUAAACCUCAAUAACUAAUGAAUAAACCGUCGAUUUUAACUCAAAUUUUUCAUACUUCUUAAAAAUUAAGUUAAAAAAAAUCACAAAAAAAUUGAAAAGGAUCGGAGUUACCAAAUUGAUGAUAACAUCAAAAAUAUGCUCGGGUAUUGGCUGGCCUCCUUCUCCAAUCCUGAUGCCAAUCUCCCAGAGCCAAUAUCUCUCCUUUGCACUAUUUGAUUGAUUUCAAAAUUCUCAUACACAUAGGAAAAUAAGUCUAAUAUCCUCUCACAUAAGAUUUACUCCAAUCCAAGUAGUAAAUUGAAAAAAAACUUAAAAACCCACAUUGGACUUAAAAUUCUACUUUCUGAGAUCUUGACUCACUUAAACCUCAAUAUUCUUCAAUUCAACUGUUAGAUCGUGCUCAAAUUCACA